rnacentral:rRNA from 1 species
GGCAGCCUACGGGGGGCAGCAGUAGGGAAUCUUCCACAAUGGGCGCAAGCCUGAUGGAGCAACACCGCGUGAGUGAAGAAGGGUUUCGGCUCGUAAAGCUCUGUUGUUGGAGAAGAACGUGCGUGUGAGUAACUGUUCACGCAGUGACGGUAUCCAACCAGAAAGUCACGGCUAACUACGUGCCAGCAGCCGCGGUAAUACGUAGGUGGCAAGCGUUUUCCGGAUUUAUUGGGCGUAAAGCGAGUGCAGGCGGUUCCAUA